rnacentral:tRNA from 2 species
GCGGGGGUUGCCUAGCCUGGUCAAAGGCGCGAGGCUUAGAACCUCGUCCCGUAGGGGUUCGUGGGUUCAAAUCCCACCCCCCGCACC